AGUGAAGGGGCUGGCUCCCCGCCUCUCACCUCCCUGGCUUGGUGACACCGCUGUCGUCUCCAGGCAGCUCAACAGCAUCGAUGGCCCCCUCCAGGCGCAGCAGGAUCACUGUGGGUCGAGGAGGUGUCACCCACCUCCUCGCAAGGAGGAGGCCCCACCCAGCUGCAAGGAGGCGGGGAGGGCAACACUUACUCUUCAGCUUUGCAAUGUCUUCCAGCUCCAUGUUCAGCCCUGGGCAAGAGAAAGGCAGCAAAGGCAGUCUGCAUCACGCUCGUGCCAACAACCCCGCCCUUGAGAACCAGGAUUCCUGGCAUGGAAAAAAGGACACCAACAUGGAAAGGAAGAGGCCACACAGAAUCCAUGCAGGCCAAAUCCACCAACAUGGGAAGGAAGAGGCCACACAGAAUCCGUGCAGGCCAAAUCCACCAACAGGGGAAGGAAGAGGCCACACAGAAUCCGUGCAGGCCAAAUCCACCAACAGGGGAAGGAAGAGGCCACACAGAAUCCGUGCAGGCCAAAUCCACCAACAGGGGAAGGAAGAGGCCACACAGAAUCCGUGCAGGCCAAAUCCACCAACAGGGGAAGGAAGAGGCCACACAGAAUCCGUGCAGGCCAAAUCCACCAACAGGGGAAGGAAGAGGCCACACAGAAUCCGUGCAGGCCAAAUCCACCAACAGGCGAAGGAAGAGGCUACACAGGCCAAAUCCAAACUGGAGACACCAAGAGGAGCAGGAGGAAGAGAAGGGACGCAGCGCUGGAGCUCACAGAGGCCGGGAAAGAGGGAAGCCAAGACAUGUGCAGCAGGCAUCGAACAUCACAAGCGCAGAUGAGCAACAGCGCCGGCGAUGUCGAGAGCAGAGGCCAGACCUGGAUGACCUGGCAACACCGCCCCACCCUAACCAGCAGUUCGCCAUACCGGGAGACGCUCCUCCACAGCAUGGAAAGGCACGUGCCACGCUCAGCAAGACAGACGGCCACGAUGCCCUGGGAGCCCCCGGCCACCGCAGUCAGGAAGCCACAGACCAGAGGAGCCAGGAAGACCCAGACCCAGCAGUUCCCUGCCCCAGCCCCACUCAGGGAGAUUUACAAACCCAACUCCCAGCCAGGCGCGGUGGCUCACGCCUGUAAUCCCAGCACUUUGGGAGGCCGAGGCGGGCGGAUCACGAGGUCAGGAGUUCAAGACCAGCCUGGCCAACAUGGUAAAACCCCGUCUCUACUAAAAAUACAAAAAUUAGCAGGGGGUGGUGGUGUGUGCCUGUAAUCCCAGCUACUCAGAAGGCUGAGGCAGGAGAAUCGCUUUCAUCUGGGAGGCAGAGGUUAAUGUGAGCCGAGAUUGUGUCACUGCACUCCAGCCUAGGCGACAGAGUGAGACUUCAUCUCAAAAACAAAACAAAACAAAACAAAACCCAACUCCCAGGUCCCACCCACAGAGUGUCAUGGGAGCAAUCUGGGGUGGGGUCCAGCUUUGGUACUUUUAAAUUUUCACACAUUGGCCGGGCAUGGUGGCUCACGCCUGCAAGCCCAGCACUUUCGGAGGCCGAGGCAGGCGGAUCACGAGGUCAGGAGAUCGAGACCAGCCUGGCGAACACUGUGAAACCCCGUCUCUACUAAAAAUACAAAAAAAAAAAAAAAAUUAGCCAGGCGUGGUGGCGGGCGCCUGUAGUCCCAGCUACUCGGGAGGCUGAGGCAGGAGAAUGGCGUGAACCCAGGAGGCAGAGCUUGCAGUGAGUGGAGAUCGCACCACUGCACUCUAGCCUGGGUGACAGAGCAAGACCCCGUCUCAAAAAAAAAAAUUUCACACAUUAAGAUGUUCAUUUUAAGUGUACUGAGUUCUGGCAGUUAUGUGCACCAUAUAACCACCAGCCCCACCCCUGCCUUUUCUAUUAAUAGAGUGUCACAUAAAUGGAAUAAAACAGUAGGUCCAGC